rnacentral:rRNA from 1 species
AUUAGAUACCCUGGGUAGUCCACGCAGUAAACGAUGAAUACUAAUUGUCCGGGCAGAGAGAUGCCUGGGUGAUACAGCGAAAGCGUUAAGUAUUCCACCUGGGGAGUACGCCGGCAACGGUGAAACUCAAAGGAAUUGACGGGGGCCCGCACAAGCGGAGGAACAUGUGGUUUAAUUCGAUGAUACGCGAGGAACCUUACCCGGGCUCAAACGACACAGGAAUACUUUUGAAAGGAGGUAGCCAGCAAUGGUCUGUGUCGAGGUGCUGCAUGGUUGUCGUCAGCUCGUGCCGUGAGGUGUCGGCUUAAGUGCCAUAACGAGCGCAACCCCUACCGCCAGUUGCCAGCAGGUAAAGCUGGGGACUCUGGCGGGACUGCCGGCGCAAGCUGCGAGGAAGGCGGGGAUGACGUCAAAUCAGCACGGCCCUUACGUCCGGGGCGACACACGUGUUACAAUGGCAGGUACAGCGGGAAGCCACCUGGCGACAGGGCGCGGAACCCGAAAACCUGUCUCAGUUCGGAUUGGAGUCUGCAACCCGACUCCAUGAAGCUGGAUUCGCUAGUAAUCGCGCAUCAGCCACGGCGCGGUGAAUACGUUCCCGGGCCUUGUACACACCGCCCGUCAAGCCAUGGAAGCCGGGAGUGCCUGAAGUGCGUGACCGCAAGGAGCGUCCUAAGGCAAUACCGGUGACUGGGGCUAAGUCGUAACAAGGUAGC